GACGAACGCUGGCGGCGUGCCUAAUACAUGCAAGUUGAGCGCUGAAGGUUGGUACUUGUACCAACUGGAUGAGCAGCGAACGGGUGAGUAACGCGUGGGGAAUCUGCCUUUGAGCGGGGGACAACAUUUGGAAACGAAUGCUAAUACCGCAUAAAAACUUUAAACACAAGUUUUAAGUUUGAAAGAUGCAAUUGCAUCACUCAAAGAUGAUCCCGCGUUGUAUUAGCUAGUUGGUGAGGUAAAGGCUCACCAAGGCGAUGAUACAUAGCCGACCUGAGAGGGUGAUCGGCCACAUUGGGACGGAGACACGGCCCAAACUCCUACGGGAGGCAGCAGUAGGGAAUCGUCGGCAAUGGACGAAAGUCUGACCGAGCAACGCCGCGUGAGUGAAGAAGGUUGUCGGAUCGGAAAACUCUGUUGGUAGAGAAGAACGUUGGUGAGAGUGGAAAGCUCAUCAAGUGACGGUAACUACCCAGAAAGGGACGGCUAACUACGUG
rnacentral:rRNA from 1 species